UACGGAGGGAGCUAGCGUUGUUCGGAAUUACUGGGCGUAAAGCGCACGUAGGCGGCUUAGCAAGUUAGAGGUGAAAGCCCGAAGCUCAACUCCGGAAUUGCCUUUAAGACUGCAUCGCUAGAAUUGUGGAGAGGUAAGUGGAAUUCCGAGUGUAGAGGUGAAAUUCGUAGAUAUUCGGAAGAACACCAGUGGCGAAGGCGACUCACUGGACAGGUAUUGACGCUGAGGUGCAAAAGCGUGGGGAGCAAACAGG
rnacentral:rRNA from 1 species